CCAGAGAGGCCUGCGGGGGGCGCAGGCCCUGGUCGGGCCUUCCUGCCGCUCACUCCCAGCGGCCAGACACAGUUCCCGCCGGAAACCUGCUGGGGUCCCAGGAGAAGAGUGAGCCGCCUCCGCCCUAGGCGCCCCUCGCUCAGGAAUACUCAUAGUUAUGUGACACCCUGCUGUCCCCUUUUCUGGAUUGUUCCGGCCAAAAAGAAUGGACAUUCAGGAUCAGCAAGGAACACCCCAACUGCUCUUUUCAGCUCCUCCAAGGACCGUAAAUGGAGAGUCCCAGCCUUGUCCCUCUCACCCUUCCAAGGCCAUAAAUGGAGAUGGAAACCACACCACUCAGCGCUCACUACUUGCUGGCUGCCUGAAGCACAGCUCUCCGCACACAAAGAACCCCCAUGGAUCUGUCACUGAGGGUCACUUUGGAAGUCAGGGAGCGAAACUAACACUCCUCUGAAGGAACGUGCCACACUUAGAUGUGACCAAGGCGUGAGCAAAGCGACCAAUCUUUGACACUAUAUUUGGUGGGAAACUACAGAGAAGAUUUACUUUCUUUGAAACCAUCUAAUCGAGCUUAACAUUUCACUUCUUCUGUAUAUGAA